rnacentral:rRNA from 1 species
GAUGAACGCUGGCGGCGUGCUUAACACAUGCAAGUCGAGCGAAGCAGUUAAGAAGAUUCUUCGGAUGAAACUUGAUUGACUGAGCGGCGGACGGGUGAGUAACGCGUGGGUGACCUGCCCCAUACCGGGGGAUAACAGCUGGAAACGGCUGCUAAUACCGCAUAAGCGCACAGAGCUGCAUGGCUCAGUGUGAAAAACUCCGGUGGUAUGGGAUGGGCCCGCGUCUGAUUAGGCAGUUGGCGGGGUAACGGCCCACCAAACCGACGAUCAGUAGCCGGCCUGAGAGGGCGACCGGCCACAUUGGGACUGAGACACGGCCCAAACUCCUACGGGAGGCAGCAGUGGGGAAUAUUGCACAAUGGGGGAAACCCUGAUGCAGCGACGCCGCGUGAGCGAAGAAGUAUUUCGGUAUGUAAAGCUCUAUCAGCAGGGAAGAUAAUGACGGU